rnacentral:rRNA from 1 species
UUAAGCGACUAAGCGUACACGGUGGAUGCCCUGGCAGUCAGAGGCGAUGAAGGACGUGCUAAUCUGCGAUAAGCGUCGGUAAGGUGAUAUGAACCGUUAUAACCGGCGAUUUCCGAAUGGGGAAACCCAGUGUGAUUCGUCACACUAUCAUUAACUGAAUCCAUAGGUUAAUGAGGCGAACCGGGGGAACUGAAACAUCUAAGUACCCCGAGGAAAAGAAAUCAACCGAGAUUCCCCCAGUAGCGGCGAGCGAACGGGGAGGAGCCCAGAGCCUGAAUCAGUGUGUGUGUUAGUGGAAGCGUCUGGAAAGGCGCGCGAUACAGGGUGACAGCCCCGUACACAAAAAUGCACAUGCUGUGAGCUCGAUGAGUAGGGCGGGACACGUGGUAUCCUGUCUGAAUAUGGGGGGACCAUCCUCCAAGGCUAAAUACUCCUGACUGACCGAUAGUGAACCAGUACCGUGAGGGAAAGGCGAAAAGAACCCCGGCGAGGGGAGUGAAAAAGAACCUGAAACCGUGUACGUACAAGCAGUGGGAGCACGCUUAGGCGUGUGACUGCGUACCUUUUGUAUAAUGGGUCAGCGACUUAUAUUCUGUAGCAAGGUUAACCGAAUAGGGGAGCCGAAGGGAAACCGAGUCUUAACUGGGCGUUAAGUUGCAGGGUAUAGACCCGAAACCCGGUGAUCUAGCCAUGGGCAGGUUGAAGGUUGGGUAACACUAACUGGAGGACCGAACCGACUAAUGUUGAAAAAUUAGCGGAUGACUUGUGGCUGGGGGUGAAAGGCCAAUCAAACCGGGAGAUAGCUGGUUCUCCCCGAAAGCUAUUUAGGUAGCGCCUCGUGAAUUCAUCUCCGGGGGUAGAGCACUGUUUCGGCAAGGGGGUCAUCCCGACUUACCAACCCGAUGCAAACUGCGAAUACCGGAGAAUGUUAUCACGGGAGACACACGGCGGGUGCUAACGUCCGUCGUGAAGAGGGAAACAACCCAGACCGCCAGCUAAGGUCCCAAAGUCAUGGUUAAGUGGGAAACGAUGUGGGAAGGCCCAGACAGCCAGGAUGUUGGCUUAGAAGCAGCCAUCAUUUAAAGAAAGCGUAAUAGCUCACUGGUCGAGUCGGCCUGCGCGGAAGAUGUAACGGGGCUAAACCAUGCACCGAAGCUGCGGCAGCGACGCUGAUGCGUUGUUGGGUAGGGGAGCGUUCUGUAAGCCUGUGAAGGUGUGCUGUGAGGCAUGCUGGAGGUAUCAGAAGUGCGAAUGCUGACAUAAGUAACGAUAAAGCGGGUGAAAAGCCCGCUCGCCGGAAGACCAAGGGUUCCUGUCCAACGUUAAUCAGGGCAGGGUGAGUCGACCCCUAAGGCGAGGCCGAAAGGCGUAGUCGAUGGGAAACAGGUUAAUAUUCCUGUACUUGGUGUUACUGCGAAGGGGGGACGGAGAAGGCUAUGUUGGCCGGGCGACGGUUGUCCCGGUUUAAGCGUGUAGGCUGGUUUUCCAGGCAAAUCCGGAAAACUAAGGCUGAGGCGUGAUGACGAGGCACUACGGUGCUGAAGCAACAAAUGCCCUGCUUCCAGGAAAAGCCUCUAAGCAUCAGGUAACAUCAAAUCGUACCCCAAACCGACACAGGUGGUCAGGUAGAGAAUACCAAGGCGCUUGAGAGAACUCGGGUGAAGGAACUAGGCAAAAUGGUGCCGUAACUUCGGGAGAAGGCACGCUGAUAUGUAGGUGAAGUCCCUCGCGGAUGGAGCUGAAAUCAGUCGAAGAUACCAGCUGGCUGCAACUGUUUAUUAAAAACACAGCACUGUGCAAACACGAAAGUGGACGUAUACGGUGUGACGCCUGCCCGGUGCCGGAAGGUUAAUUGAUGGGGUCAGCGCAAGCGAAGCUCUUGAUCGAAGCCCCGGUAAACGGCGGCCGUAACUAUAACGGUCCUAAGGUAGCGAAAUUCCUUGUCGGGUAAGUUCCGACCUGCACGAAUGGCGUAAUGAUGGCCAGGCUGUCUCCACCCGAGACUCAGUGAAAUUGAACUCGCUGUGAAGAUGCAGUGUACCCGCGGCAAGACGGAAAGACCCCGUGAACCUUUACUAUAGCUUGACACUGAACAUUGAGCCUUGAUGUGUAGGAUAGGUGGGAGGCUUUGAAGUGUGGACGCCAGUCUGCAUGGAGCCGACCUUGAAAUACCACCCUUUAAUGUUUGAUGUUCUAACGUUGACCCGUAAUCCGGGUUGCGGACAGUGUCUGGUGGGUAGUUUGACUGGGGCGGUCUCCUCCUAAAGAGUAACGGAGGAGCACGAAGGUUGGCUAAUCCUGGUCGGACAUCAGGAGGUUAGUGCAAUGGCAUAAGCCAGCUUGACUGCGAGCGUGACGGCGCGAGCAGGUGCGAAAGCAGGUCAUAGUGAUCCGGUGGUUCUGAAUGGAAGGGCCAUCGCUCAACGGAUAAAAGGUACUCCGGGGAUAACAGGCUGAUACCGCCCAAGAGUUCAUAUCGACGGCGGUGUUUGGCACCUCGAUGUCGGCUCAUCACAUCCUGGGGCUGAAGUAGGUCCCAAGGGUAUGGCUGUUCGCCAUUUAAAGUGGUACGCGAGCUGGGUUUAGAACGUCGUGAGACAGUUCGGUCCCUAUCUGCCGUGGGCGCUGGAGAACUGAGGGGGGCUGCUCCUAGUACGAGAGGACCGGAGUGGACGCAUCACUGGUGUUCGGGUUGUCAUGCCAAUGGCACUGCCCGGUAGCUAAAUGCGGAAGAGAUAAGUGCUGAAAGCAUCUAAGCACGAAACUUGCCCCGAGAUGAGUUCUCCCUGACUCCUUGAGAGUCCUGAAGGAACGUUGAAGACGACGACGUUGAUAGGCCGGGUGUGUAAGCGCAGCGAUGCGUUGAGCUAACCGGUACUAAUGAACCGUGAGGCUUAACCUU